AACGAACGCUGGCGGCGUGCUUAACACAUGCAAGUUGAACGCGAAAGGGACUUCGGUCCUGAGUAAAGUGGCGCACGGGUGAGUAACGCGUAGAUAACCUGUCUUUAUGUCUGGAAUAAUACGCCGAAAGGGGUACUAAUACCGGAUAUUUUUGCAUUGCACAAGUGAUGUAAGCAAAGGUGGCCUCUGACAUAAGCUACUGCAUAAAGAGGGGUCUGCGUACCAUUAGCUAGUAGGUGGGGUAAAGGCCUACCUAGGCUACGAUGGUUAGCGGGUCUGAGAGGAUGAUCCGCCACACUGGCACUGGAACACGGGCCAGACUCCUACGGGAGGCAG
rnacentral:rRNA from 1 species